AUUGAACGCUGGCGGCAUGCCUUACACAUGCAAGUCGAACGGCAGCACGGGAGCAAUCCUGGUGGCGAGUGGCGAACGGGUGAGUAAUAUAUCGGAACGUGCCCGGUCGUGGGGAUAACGUAGCGAAAGCUACGCUAAUACCGCAUACGAUCUACGGAUGAAAGCGGGGGAUCGCAAGACCUCGCGCGAUUGGAGCGGCCGAUAUCAGAUUAGGUAGUUGGUGAGGUAAAGGCUCACCAAGCCGACGAUCUGUAGCUGGUCUGAGAGGACGACCAGCCACACUGGGACUGAGACACGGCCCAGACUCCUACGGGAGGCAGCAGUGGGGGAAUUUUGGGACAAUGGGCGCAAGCCUGAUCCAGCAAUGCCGCGUGCAGGAUG
rnacentral:rRNA from 1 species